rnacentral:snoRNA from 1 species
AGUGAGGUCUAUCCCGAUAGGACUUUGAUGUAAGACCAUAUCGUUGGAAACGCCUCAGAAAUGAAUCUUGUAGUUUUGCUUUACCUGCUAAUGCUGUGAUUUUUAGUGGGAAUAAACUACAUUACACUU